rnacentral:rRNA from 1 species
CCUACGGGUGGCAGCAGUAGGGAAUAUUGCUCAAUGGGGGAAACCCUGAAGCAGCAACGUCGCGUGGAGGAUGAAGGCCCUCCGAUUGUAAAACCUCUUUGUCAGAGAAGAUAAUGUCGGUACCUAUCCAAUCCGCACCGGUUCACUCCGUGCCAGCAGCGGCGGUCACACGGCGGGCGCAAGCGUUACUCGGAAUCACUGGGCGGAAAGGGCGCGUUGGUGGGGUAGCAAGUCAGGUGUGAAAUCCUAUGGCUUAACCAUAGAACUGCAUUUGAAACUGUUAGUCUAGAGUGUGGGAGAGGUAGGUGGAAUUCUUGGUGUAGGGGUAAAAUGCAUAGAGAUCAAGAAGAAUACUCAUUGCGAAGGCAGCCUGCUGGAGCAUAACUGACGCUGAUGCGCGAAAGCGUGGGGAGCGAACAGGAUUAGAUACCCCAGUAGUC